ensembl:snoRNA
CCUCUCAGUCCCGGUAAUGUAUGGAGGUUGAGGGAAAGGGCUCCGGCCUUCCCGGUGUCACAUCUUCGGCACGGAAGGCUUCCAGUCCGUGGGUUCUAACCUCAAGUGCCCGGACACUG